rnacentral:rRNA from 1 species
UACAGAGGGUGCAAGCGUUAAUCGGAAUUACUGGGCGUAAAGGGUGCGUAGGUGGUUUGAUAAGUUAGGUGUGAAAGCCCCGGGCUUAACCUGGGAAUUGCGCCUAAUACUGUUGAGCUAGAGUACUGUAGAGGGAGGUGGAAUUUCCGGUGUAGCGGUGAAAUGCGUAGAUAUCGGAAGGAACACCAGUGGCGAAGGCGGUCCGCUGGGGUGUUGCUGACGCUGAGGCGCGACAGCGUGGGGAGCAAACAGG